AUUGAACGCCGGCGGCAUGCUUUACACAUGCAAGUCGAACGGUAACAGGCCGCAAGGUGCUGACGAGUGGCGAACGGGUGAGUAAUGCAUCGGAACGUGCCCAGUCGUGGGGGAUAACGCAGCGAAAGCUGCGCUAAUACCGCAUACGAUCUAUGGAUGAAAGCGGGGGACCGAAAGGCCUCGCGCGAUGGGAGCGGCCGAUGUCAGAUUAGGUAGUUGGUGGGGUAAAGGCUCACCAAGCCGACGAUCUGUAGCUGGUCUGAGAGGACGACCAGCCACACUGGGACUGAGACACGGCCCAGACUCCUACGGGAGGCAGCAGUGGGGAAUUUUGGACAAUGGGCGCAAGCCUGAUCCAGCAAUGCCGCGUGCAGGAAGAAGGCCUUCGGGUUGUAAACUACUUUUGUACGGAACGAAAAGGCUCUGGUUAAUACCUGGGGCUCAUGACGGUACCGUAAGAAUAAGCACCGACUAACUACGUGCCAGCCGCCGCCGUAAUAC
rnacentral:rRNA from 1 species